rnacentral:lncRNA from 1 species
AAGGUGGGGGGUGAGGUGGGGAGAAGAGUGUGAUUGUGAGGCAAAAAGCUGUAUUUACCGCACAGAGAAGUACGUGAUGAUGGUUUUGCUGUGAGUUCUUCUGCUCUGUGAAGUCACUUUUGAGUAUGUGGUGAAGGGGUGACCCACACCAUGUAAAUGAGGUUGGUAAAGACCUCUGGAGAGCGUCUGGUCCAACUUCUUGGUCCAGACAGGGUAUGACUUCAAAGUGCAUCCAAUCAAGUGUUAAAUAUCUCCACGUAUGGAGAUUCCAAAACAGGCUGACAAAUGGUCAACACGGGGCAAAAGUUACUUCCCUCAGCCUGUGGCUACACACUUGCUAAAACAGACCAGUGCCUGGGGCUGUAUAACAAAGAGAAGAGGAGGUACUCCACAGUCAUUCAGGUCCAGGUAUUUGUCUGUGACAGUCACUACAUGCUGCUGUUAUCAAUGGCCUUGUGCAAGAUUUGUGAAUACCACCAGGUACACCACUUGGAGCUGUAUAAUUCCCAU